rnacentral:rRNA from 1 species
GACGAACGCUGGCGGCGUGCUUAACACAUGCAAGUCGAACGGUGAAGCUCCAGUUUGCUGGAGUGGAUCAGUGGCGAACGGGUGAGUAACACGUGAGCAACCUGCCCCUGACUCUGGAAUAAGCGCUGGAAACGGCGUCUAAUACUGGAUACGAGAAGGGUCCGCAUGGGCACUUUCUGGAAAGUUUUUCGGUUGGGGAUGGGCUCGCGGCCUAUCAGCUUGUUGGUGAGGUAAUGGCUCACCAAGGCGACGACGGGUAGCCGGCCUGAGAGGGCGACCGGCCACACUGGGACUGAGACACGGCCCAGACUCCUACGGGAGGCAGCAGUGGGGAAUAUUGCACAAUGGGCGAAAGCCUGAUGCAGCGACGCCGCGUGAGGGAUGACGGCCUUCGGGUUGUAAACCUCUUUCAGCAGGGAAGAAGCGAAAGUGACGGUACCUGCAGAAGAAGCACCGGCUAACUACGUG